rnacentral:rRNA from 1 species
GGGGAAUAUUGGACAAUGGGCGAAAGCCUGAUCCAGCCAUGCCGCGUGAGUGACGAAGGCCUUAGGGUUGUAAAGCUCUUUUGGCGGGGAAGAUAAUGACGGUACCCGCAGAAUAAGCUCCGGCUAACUUCGUGCCAGCAGCCGCGGUAAUACGAAGGGAGCUAGCGUUGUUCGGAAUCACUGGGCGUAAAGCGCACGUAGGCGGAUUUGUCAGUCAGGGGGUGAAAUCCCGGGGCUCAACCUCGGAACUGCCUUUGAUACAGCAAGUCUUGAGUUCGAGAGAGGUGGGUGGAAUUCCUAGUGUAGAGGUGAAAUUCGUAGAUAUUAGGAAGAACACCGGUGGCGAAGGCGGCCCACUGGCUCGAUACUGACGCUGAGGUGCGAAAGCGUGGGGAGCAAACAG